UACGAAGGGGGCUAGCGUUGCUCGGAAUCACUGGGCGUAAAGCGUGCGCAGGCGGUUUUGUAAGCCAGAUGUGAAAUCCCCGGGCUCAACCUGGGAAUGGCAUUUGGGACUGCAAGGCUUGAGUGCGGCAGAGGAGACUGGAAUUCCUGGUGUAGCAGUGAAAUGCGUAGAUAUCAGGAGGAAUACCGAUGGCGAAGGCAGGUCUCUGGGCUGACACUGACGCUCAUGCACGAAAGCGUGGGGAGCAAACAGG
rnacentral:rRNA from 1 species